UACGUAGGGUCCGAGCGUUGUCCGGAAUUAUUGGGCGUAAAGAGCUCGUAGGCGGUUUGUCGCGGCUGCUGUGAAAUCCCGAGGCUCAACCUCGGGUCUGCAGUGGGUACGGGCAGACUGGAGUGCGGUAGGGGAGAAUGGAAUUCCUGGUGUAGCGGUGGAAUGCGCAGAUAUCGGGAGGAACACCGAUGGCGAAGGCAGUUCUCUGGGCCGUAACUGACGCUGAGGAGCGAAAGUGUGGGGAGCGAACAGG
rnacentral:rRNA from 1 species